rnacentral:rRNA from 1 species
GAUCAUGGCUCAGAUUGAACGCUGGCGGCAGGCCUAACACAUGCAAGUCGAACGGUAACAGGAAGCAGCUUGCUGCUUUGCUGACGAGUGGCGGACGGGUGAGUAAUGUCUGGGAAACUGCCUGAUGGAGGGGGAUAACUACUGGAAACGGUAGCUAAUACCGCAUAACGUCGCAAGACCAAAGAGGGGGGACCUUCGGGCCUCUUGCCAUCGGAUAGUGGCCCAGAUGGGAUUAGUCG